rnacentral:rRNA from 1 species
AGUAGCAGAUCUGACGGUACUAGAAGAAGAAGCACUGGCUAAUUCCGUGCCAGCAGCCGCGGUAAUACGGAAGGUGCAAGCGUUGUUCGGAUUGACUGGGCGUAAAGAGCGCGUAGGCGGGUUCGUAAGUUGGAUGUGAAAGCCCCGGGCUUAACCUGGGAACUGCAUCCAAAACUGCGAGUCUUGAAUGUCUGAGGGGUUGGCGGAAUUCCUGGUGUAGGAGUGAAAUCCGUAGAUAUCAGGAGGAAUACCAGAGGCGAAGGCGGCCGACUGGCAGUACAUUGACGCUGAUGCGCGAAAGCGUGGGUAGCAAACAGGAUUAGAUACCCUGGUAGUCCACGCCGUAAACGAUGGAUACUAGGUGUUUGGGGAGUUAACCCCCUGAGUACCAAAGCUAACGCAUUAAGUAUCCCGCCUGGGGAGUACGGUCGCAAGGCUAAAACUCAAAGGAAUUGACGG